UUAUGAUGAUCUGUGUGCAUGCUUACAAAAGCAUAAAACAACAAAUAAAAACAAUUCUAUUUCAACCUUUACUUCGACUGUCCAUCGUCCUUGACCAAAUGACAAUAUUACCCUUUGCUCUUCAUUAUUUUUGUUAACCUGAAAAACAAGAAGAAAAAAAAAUUAUGAAAUUGUUUUCUUCUUUUUAUUUGUUUAUUCUGAAAGGGAUCUGAAGAUCCUCAACCGUACAUGUCCUAUGAAGAGACCUUUCACAGUCAAAUAUCACUAUUUGCCGUUUCAUGGGAAUUGUUUGUGGAAUCUACGGGCAAUACUAAACCCUUGUGUUCAUGACAAAGUCUAAACUGAAUAUCUUUAAUGCCACUAUUUGAUCACCGGGCAUUGAGGGGGCAGUGGGGGGGGGACUGUUCGUCCGGUGGGGCCCCUAAUCGUGUUUGAGUUCGGCCGGAUGGCCGUACUAAUAGUUCUGCCCGGACUACGAAGCCCCCAUUUGGGGGUUUUUGGGUGUGCUAAUCCCAGUUGGUGGGGGUGGGGUGGGGUGGGGUGGGGUGGGAAGGGGUGGUAUUACAGCAAUCAUCCCCCUUAUUCCGAGGCUUCAAAUUAUAAUUUUACCCUUGAUAUUUGUUAUAUUUAAUAUAAAUAAAGGGUAAGUAUGAAAUUGUUAAAGAGAAAAAAUUUCUAAUAUUUUUUACUACACUAUUGACCACAUUACCCUUGAUAUUUACUAAUCCACUGUCUAAUCCCGUGCAACCAAACACCCCCUCGACUAUUGCCCUCAUUACUAAUCCCAUCUCAUUAAUUCAUCCCAUCCUAAUCCACCUCAUUCUAAUCCUACAAUUCUAUCAAAUUAAUCAAACGAGGCCUAAGGUCAUUAUUUUUCGCACUCUAUACUUCUAAUUUUUCUUGCACUCCAAAAUAAGAAAUGGUCAGAAUUAAUACAUACUGGUGUUGAUUUCUUGGCCCUUCUAUUUUGGAGUGUAAAAAUCAAAUUAUAGGAAGUAGAAAAUCACUUCCCUUGUUUAAAACUGGAUUUUGUGUCCCGAAUUUGAUAAGUACUGCAGAUUGAUAAUGACUCAAAAUAACGCCAUUUUGAGUCUUAAUAAACUUACUAUUAAACUGCCCCAAAUAUCGAAACGAUAUCAUUUUGUACUCUGAGGCAAAGGGUACGGGUCGUUGUGCCUCAUCCCUUAUCCAGGAUGUGAUACAGCAAACCGACAUCCGAUCUUCAUCAGAAUUGUGUUUUCAAUUAAGCAACAUAAUGAUCAUGAUCUCUACAAAACUCUCUUUUAAAUGAGGAUCAAGACAAACAAACAAUACCACACAUUGUCGUAUUUUUUCAUUGUGCGCAAAAACGAUGUUGUUUAACGAAUGGGGUUGUUUACCAUGACAACCGGUUCGCGUCACCUAUUAAUCUGUGAGGGGCCCUAAAAGCGCUACAACAUCUCAAUCCAUCUAUCUUUGUCUUCAUUCACCAAAUCCCGAUCUAAACACACCUAUAGGUUACAAUGGCUAGAUUCGCACAAAUGCCAGAGACAAAAAUUGACUUGACCUUGUGCCCUCUUGGAAUAGUUUUUUUAAACGGAUUACACAGCUGGUUUAGCCUUUUAAAUUUUUUCAUUUUGAGUUCUUUGUUUUUUUUAUCGUUUGAAUCAAAAAUUAUAUUUUUUUUAAUUUUUUUCAACAAGAAUAGUCGAAAUGUAAAAAAAAAAAAAUUCCUAAAACUAAAAUAAAUGAUUUACUUGAAAAAAAAAUGUUUGUUUUUUUACUUCAUGCAUUUUUUCAAAUUAGGAUUUUUUUUUGAAUGUUUUGUGAACUUUUCUCAUCAAAAGAAUCGAAAACGUAAUAAAAUUUUUUGGUCAAAGGUAAAAACAUUUACUACAUAAUAAAAAAAAACUCAAAAAUUCAAAGCAUUUAUAUAAACAACAAAAUACUUAUCCAAUAUCUUUAAGCUAUUUCUAAAUACAUGGGUUAGGAAUCAUAUACCCUUUUGUACUAUUUUCUAUAAAAUUACACACAUUUCAAUGCAUUUAUUUAAUGAAUAUCUAUACAACCGUUUCACACUAAUCAAUACAUUUAUUUAUGAAUAUCUAUCUAUACACGUUUCACACUAAUCAAUACAGUUUUUAACCAUCACUCAUUACAGUUUUUUUUUUCGACAAAUUAUUUCCUUCUCCAUUUUCAAACCCAACAAAAAAUAAAAAAGUUUUAAACACCUUUGUUUUUUUUGGUUGAUGAUAAUUGUCGACAUUCUACUUUGUUUUUUCCGCCUUCAAAUACACUCCUUUGUUAUUUUCGUCUUUCAUUAUAUGAAAAAUAUAUGAAAAUUUAUUAAAGAUAUUAAAAUAUAUGAAAAAUAAUUGAAAUAUUAUAACCAAUAUGCCAUUAAUUCGUUAGCAAAAAGAACAAAUAAUUACUUUCUCUUCAUUUUCUUUUUUUUGUAGGAAUCUGAGUAGUGCGACUUCACCAGUGCCUUGGAAGUCUAAUCCAAGACCGAGCACCUAGG
rnacentral:lncRNA from 1 species